rnacentral:rRNA from 1 species
GACGAACCGGACAAACGUUAUUCGGAAUUACUGGGCUUAAAGGGUUUGUAGGCGGCCUUGUAAGUCAGGUGUGAAAUCCCUCGGCUCAACCGAGGAAUGGCGCUUGAUACCGCACGGCUUGAGGGAGACAGGGGUAAGCGGAACUGAUGGUGGAGCGGUGAAAUGCGUUGAUAUCAUCAGGAACACCGGUGGCGAAAGCGGCUUACUGGGUCUCUUCUGACGCUGAGGAACGAAAGCUAGGGGAGCGAACGGG